CUGGCCUUGGGAAAGUGAAUUGGCCUGAAUAUCAAGGAGGAGAACUUGGGUGUGGAAAUACCGGAAUCUCACUGUAUCGCUCAGGCUGGAGUGCAGUGGCCACAAAGUGGGAGAUUGGCACGAGGGACACCAACACUGGAAUACUUGAUGAGAUGUGUGAAGAGCAUGGCAAUGGAUGCAAACUCCCUUUGUGUUUCUGGCUUUAAGCAGCUCUGUACUCUCAUGCUCUCCUACACUCAGCAGCAAUUUGUUACAAGUUUGGCGAAAUUCUUCCUACUCUUUUGAACUCCAGCCCAAUUUCCUUACUGUCACUGCCCUAGGUCUUACUCUUCCAGAAGAAAAAGGGAAAACUGAACCUGAAUGUCCCCUAAAAGUGAAGAAAUGUCCACACUUCUAUGUGCAGAUUAGUAUCUACAUACAGACCUCUUAGAGGAGUCAGACAAACAAGAUCUUGAAUCUUUACUGAUCU
rnacentral:lncRNA from 1 species